AGAAGUUAGUCCGAUGUACAAGCUAUUGCUCCAUCAAGAUACAUUUAAUGCCGCGUUCUCUGCCAUGGAAUGGGCGGGUGCGUUCAACUUGGAUAUUACUGGGGAAACGGAUGGAGGAAUCAACCUCCUAACAACUGAGACACUGAAGUCAAUAAGCCCAGAUAUUCCAAAAAUGUACCCUGAGAAUUGUCCCAUUAUUAUGAAAGUUGGGGUAAACAGGACCCCUCGUGUCACUCUACACAAGGGGAAGAUUGUCCUUUUUGUGCAGCCUUCACUGGAGCUUAUGGUGAUCCUACCACAUGACAGACCUCCUGACUCUUUCAUCGUUC